rnacentral:rRNA from 1 species
AUUGAACGCUGGCGGCAUGCCUUACACAUGCAAGUCGAACGGUAACAGGUCUUCGGAUGCUGACGAGUGGCGAACGGGUGAGUAAUACAUCGGAACGUGCCUAGUAGUGGGGGAUAACUACUCGAAAGAGUGGCUAAUACCGCAUGAGAUCUACGGAUGAAAGCAGGGGAUCGCAAGACCUUGUGCUACUAGAGCGGUCGAUGGCAGAUUAGGUAGGUGGUGGGAUAAAAGCUUACCAAGCCGACGAUCUGUAGCUGGCCUGGGAGGACGAUCAGCCACACUGGGACUGAGACACGGCCCAGACUCCUACGGGAGGCAGCAGUGGGGAAUUUUGGACAAUGGGCGCAAGCCUGAUCCAGCAAUGCCGCGUGCAGGAUGAAGGCCUUCGGGUUGUAAACUGCUUUUGUACGGAACGAAAAGCCCUGGGUUAAUACCCUGGGGUCAUGACGGUACCGUAAGAAUAAGCACCGGCUAACUACGUGCCAGCAGCCGCGGUAAUAC